rnacentral:rRNA from 1 species
GACGAACGCUGACGGUGUGCUUUAGACAUGCAAGUCGAGCGAGAAAGCCCUUCGGGGUUAGUAAAGCGGCGAACGGGUGAGUAACACGUGGGCAAUCUGCCCCUCGCAGGGGGACAACCGGGGGAAACUCCGGCUAAUACCCCGUAAGCUAUGUGGAUCGCAUGGUUCACAUAGGAAAGGUAGCUUCGGCCAUCCGGCGAGGGAUGAGCCCGCGGUACAUUAGCUAGUUGGGUGGGGUAACGGCCUACCAAGGCGGCGAUGUAUAGCUGGUCUGAGAGGAUGAUCAGCCACACUGGGACUGAGACACGGCCCAGACUCCUACGGGAGGCAGCAGUCGGGAAUCUUGCACAAUGGGCGAAAGCCUGAUGCAGCAACACCGUGUGAGC